rnacentral:lncRNA from 1 species
GUCAACGGUCGGCUCAGCAAAUAUCCAGCCCAAAAUACACCACUAGUGGUCUGUUCUUAAAGACCAAAAAACCAGGCCCUUUUUCUUCCUCCUUUCUUGCUGCUACGCCUCAACUAUUUCAUUGCUUGUCAAUGCUCAGCAAGGAAGACAGCCUAACAGCAGCCCUCCCACCUGUGAAUUCUUCACUGAUUAAAAUCUGGUUACAAAACAAGGGACCUAGAGAGAUGUUCACUUCACCACUUCUCUACAGAUGCCUCCUGCUGCUUCCAACUUUUCUCCUUUAAGGCAGGGUGAAUCCAAAUCAUGGUCUUAGCCCUGAAGGAGGCACCAAAGCAGUUUCGUUGCCCUGUGAAAAGCUUCUAGAGGAGCUCAUCUGAAUGCUUGAAGAAACCAGCCGCCCUUGCAAUUACCUAAAAGGAAUUGAGUCAUUUUAACAAGACAUUAUUUCUGCCAUCCACGGUCACAAUCAUCUCUUUGAAAAAUAAAUACUCUUGGUUUGUUGUUAAAAAAAAAAAAAAAAA